GAGUUUGAUUCUGGCUCAGGAUGAACGCUGGCGGCGUGCUUAACACAUGCAAGUCGAACGGGCGAAUUAUAUCGGAGGCCUUCGGGCCGAAGAGAUAAUAAGCUAGUGGCGGACGGGUGCGUAACGUGUGGGUAAUCUGCCUUUGUCAUAGGAAUAACUGCUUGAAAAAGUAGCUAAUACCAAAUAACAUAUCGUAUAGGCAUCUAUAAGAUAUCAAAGAGAAAUCGGACAAAGAUGAGCCCGCAUCUGAUUAGCUGGUUGGUAGGGUAAAAGCCUACCAAGGCGACGAUCAGUAGCCGGCCUGAGAGGGUGAACGGCCACAUUGGAACUGAGACACGGUCCAAACUCCUACGGGAGGCAGCAGUGGGGAAUAUUGCACAAUGGGGGGAACCCUGAUGCAGCAACGCCGCGUGAGUGAAGAAGGCUUUCGAGUCGUAAAACUUCUGUUGUAAGGGAAGAUAAUGACCGUNCNUAAG
rnacentral:rRNA from 1 species